AUUGUGGUACUCCCGGACAUAAAAUAAACGAGUGCCGCAAGAGGAUGCGGACCGGAGAAACGAGGAUACGACACCCAGGAGAAGGUCGACCAGGUACAUCGUCCGGGGCGGUUUGCUACAAGUGCCGAGCGGAAGGUCAUAUCGCACCUGAUUGUCCGCUAUGGGAGGAGAGGAGGAGGCGGCUACGACGAAGAACGUCGAGUCCAUUCCAGCGUGGUGGAGACUUCAACUGGUAAACUGGGUCACCAGGUUACACCCGAGGACGUGUGAUAGUCAAAAUGGCCGCGUCGGAGAUGAAACAGCACCGGAGCCUUCGCCUCGGAACUAUGGGAAGACACCUAGUACCGUAAUUUAGAUUUCACCAUAGCCGUAUUAAGAAAGCCGUUGUCAUUCGAUCCGACUGUACUUAUUCGAAAUUUAUGAUAGUGAGCUCGGGCUCGAGGCGACAACCAGUCGCCGAACGUAGUCGCGGUCAAGGGGAUGAACGUUUUGUUUAACCAAGGCAGAUUUUACCAGAUGUUGAUGCGUCUCCACAGUACAUGUUCGGCUAGCCCGAGGACCCGCUAUAAAUUUUAAGAUCUAUUUAACGAAAGUCCUUCAAACCGACAAACGGCUAGCACCCUUCCCCAAUUUCCUCCAACUAAGUAACUCCAAUUUCCCUCACUUUCCGAAUGAAGACUUUUCUCCGCGAAUCCGAUGAUUUCGUGCCCUUAGACGCACCCAUCGUAGUUUUCCUCGACAGCGUCACCG
rnacentral:misc_RNA from 1 species